ncrna:unclassified sequences GA-cis RNA
GGGAGGAGCCGUCAACACACGCAGUGUGAUCACAUGACGGCGACGAACUGCCGCCGAGCCGGAGGCGAGGGGGCGUCACAUGAA